UAAGGAAUAUUGGUCAAUGGACGCAAGUCUGAACCAGCCAUGCCGCGUGGAGGAUUAAGGCCCUCUGGGUUGUAAACUCCUUUUAUCUGGGAAGAAAUGUACUUUUUCUUGAGUACUUGACGGUACCAGAGGAAUAAGCACCGGCUAACUCCGUGCCAGCAGCCGCGGUAAUACGGAGGGUGCAAGCGUUAUCCGGAUUCACUGGGUUUAAAGGGUGCGUAGGUGGGCAGGUAAGUCAGUGGUGAAAUCUCCGGGCUUAACCCGGAAACUGCCGUUGAUACUGUUUGUCUUGAAUAUUGUGGAGGUAAGCGGAAUAUGUCAUGUAGCGGUGAAAUGCUUAGAUAUGACAUAGAACACCAAUUGCGAAGGCAGCUUACUACACAAUCAUUGACGCUGAGGCACGAAAGCGUGGGGAUCAAACA
rnacentral:rRNA from 1 species